rnacentral:rRNA from 1 species
UGGGGGAAUAUUGCACAAUGGGCGAAAGCCUGAUGCAGCAACGCCGCGUGAGUGAUGAAGGUCUUCGGAUUGUAAAGCUCUGUCUUUUGGGACGAUAAUGACGGUACCAAAGGAGGAAGCCACGGCUAACUACGUGCCAGCAGCCGCGGUAAUACGUAGGUGGCGAGCGUUGCCCGGAUUUACUGGGCGUAAAGGGUGCGUAGGCGGAUGUUUAAGUGAGAUGUGAAAUACCCGGGCUUAACUUGGGUGCUGCAUUUCAAACUGGAUAUCUAGAGUGCAGGAGAGGAGAAUGGAAUUCCUAGUGUAGCGGUGAAAUGCGUAGAGAUUAGGAAGAACACCAGUGGCGAAGGCGAUUCUCUGGACUGUAACUGACGCUGAGGCACGAAAGCGUGGGUAGCAAACAGGAUUAGAUACCCUGGUAGUCCACGCCGUAAACGAUGAGUACUAGGUGUAGGAGGUAUCGACCCCUUCUGUGCCGCAGUAAACACAUUAAGUACUCCGCCUGGGAAGUACGAUCGCAAGAUUAAAACUCUAAAGUGAAUUGAC